AUUGAACGCUGGCGGCAUGCCUAACACAUGCAAGUCGGACGGUAGCACAGAGGAGCUUGCUCCUCGGGUGACGAGUGGCGGACGGGUGAGUAAUGUCUGGGGAUCUGCCCGAUAGAGGGGGAUAACCACUGGAAACGGUGGCUAAUACCGCAUAACGUCGCAAGACCAAAGAGGGGGACCUUCGGGCCUCUCACUAUCGGAUGAACCCAGAUGGGAUUAGCUAGUAGGCGGGGUAACGGCCAACCUAGGCGACGAUCCCUAGCUGGUCUGAGAGGAUGACCAGCCACACUGGAACGGGGACACGGUCCAGACUCCUACGGGAGGCAGCAGUGGGGAAUAUUGCACAAUGGGCGCAAGCCUGAUGCAGCCAUGCCGCGUGUAUGAAGAAGGCCUUCGGGUUGUAAAGUACUUUCAGCGGGGAGGAAGGCGAUGUGGUUAAUAACCGCAUUGAUUGACGUUACCCGCAGAAGAAGCACCGGCUAACUCCGUGCCAGCCGCCGCCGUAA
rnacentral:rRNA from 1 species